UGCUGCUCCAACAAGAUUCAUCCAUGUAGUCAGUGAAAGCUGUGCUGGAUAUCGUUUCAAAGUGUACGCCUGCAAUAUUUUCUUGAUUUGCUUGCAACCGCAAGAAUGGAGCCUUGCAACCAGUUCUUGUGGACAGCUGUUGUGCUUCCUUUUAUAUGAAUGAUUCCAUGUCCUAUGUUUUGUAAAGCGGGUCCCUUGUACAAUGUCAUCGUCAUAACACCAGCCAACGAGAUUGCAGUUCCUAGGAUUUUUGCAAUCCCACGAGGGCUUCGGACGUUUACAAUCUCCAUUCUGCACAAGGAUUGUGCUUUCGGAAAUCUGAGAAUUGCACGAGAAAUUGUCAGCUGAACCUUCCUGCAAAAAAGCAUGAAAUGUAACGUGGUUGUUGGGGACUGUCCGAAGCGGUAUAGUGCGCGAAGAACGUAUUUGAAAAAUUCCAAUACUGUAUAAAGAUGGUAUGCGCAUUAUUUUAAUUCUCAUUUGUAUAAUCAAUUUUCUCUUUCUUUAAUAGAAGCAUUCAUAGC